GGCGGUGGAGUAUGUGGUUAAUUCGAUGCAACGCGAAGAACCUUACCUGGUCUUGACAUCCCGGAGACCCUUAGGAAACUAGGGGGUGCUUCCAUCUGGAAGAAUCUGGAGACAGGUGCUGCAUGGCUGUCGUCAGCUCGUGUCGUGAGAUGUUGGGUUAAGUCCCGCAACGAGCGCAACCCUUGCCUUUAGUUGCCAGCAGUUCGGCUGGGCACUCUAAAGGGACUGCCGGUGUUAAACCGGAGGAAGGUGGGGAUGACGUCAAGUCCUCAUGGCCUUUAUGACCAGGGCUACACACGUACUACAAUGGCCGAUACAAAGGGCAGCGACACUGCGAGGUGAAGCCAAUCCCGUAAAAUCGGUCUCAGUCCGGAUUGGAGUCUGCAACUCGACUCCAUGAAGUUGGAAUCGCUAGUAAUCGUGGAUCAGCAUGCCACGGUGAAUACGUUCCCGGGCCUU
rnacentral:rRNA from 1 species